rnacentral:rRNA from 1 species
GNAUUUAUUGGGCGUAAAGCGAGCGCAGGCGGUUAGAUAAGUCUGAAGUUAAAGGCUGUGGCUUANCCAUAGUACGCUUUGGAAACUGUUUAACUUGAGUGCAGAAGGGGAGAGUGGAAUUCCAUGUGUAGCGGUGAAAUGCGUAGAUAUAUGGAGGAACACCGGUGGCGAAAGCGGCUCUCUGGUCUGUAACUGACGCUGAGGCUCGAAAGCGUGGGGAGCGAACAGGAUUAGAUACCCUGGUAGUNCACGCCGUAAACGAUGAGUGCUAGGUGUUAGGCCCUUUCCGGGGCUUAGUGCCGCAGCUAACGCAUUAAGCACUCCGCCUGGGGAGUACGACCGCAAGGUUGAAACUCAAAGGAAUUGACGGGGGCCCGCACAAGCGGUGGAGCAUGUGGUUUAAUUCGGAGCAACGCGAAGAACCUUACCAGGUCUUGACAUCCCGAUGCCCGCUCUAGAGAUAGAGUUUUACUUCGGUAUAUCGGUGACAGGUGGUGCAUGGUUGUCGUCAGCUCGUGUCGUGAGAUGUUGGGUUAAGUCCCGCAACGAGCGCAACCCUUAUUGUUAGUUGCCAUCAUUCAGUUGGGCACUCUAGCGAGACUGCCGGUAAUAAACCGGAGGAAGGUGGGGAUGACGUCAAAUCAUCAUGCCCCUUAUGACCUGGGCUACACACGUGCUACAAUGGCUGGUACAACGAGUCGCAAGUCGGUGACGGCAAGCUAAUCUCUUAAAGCCAGUCUCAGUUCGGAUUGUAGGCUGCAACUCGCCUACAUGAAGUCGGAAUCGCUAGUAAUCGCGGAUCAGGACGCCGCGGUGAAUACGUUCCCGGGCCUUGUACACACCGCCCGUCACACCACGAGAGUUUGUAACACCCGAAGUCGGUGAGGUAACCUUUUAGGAGCCAGCCGCCUAAGG